AGUGCACUAUGUAGGGAAUAGGGUGCCAUUUGGGACAUACCCUUUGAGAUAGCCCAAAGGCCUGCAGAUGGCGAUAUUGAGUCAUUUCAUCUUACCGUCCAAAUGGAAUGGAAUGCAGCUGGCUGUACACUCAUGUCCCACGUCGACCUGUUCAUACAUAAAACAUUCUCCAUUCAGGCUACAAAUGUAUACAUUUCAACCUUAACUUGAUUUAAUGGUGAGAAAGCAGAUAGAAAUGGGGAAAAUAUGCAUACUUUAUGAAACACCAUUUUCCACCACCAUGCUACAGUAGCGAAUGCUAGUCCUGGAUGAUGGAUAUCGUGUUCAGCCAAUCAGGUUACAGCAAUACGCAACAUCCAAAUAUAAAAUAAAAUAAAAUUGUGUUGGUCACAUAAACAUAUUUAGCAGAUGUUAUUGUGGGUGUAGCUAAAUGCUUGCGUUUCUAGCUCCAACAGUGCAGUAGUAUCUCACAAUUCACAACAAUACACACAAAUCUAAAAGGAAAAUAAUGGAAUUACGGAAUAUAUAAAUAUUAGUACUAAUAUUUAGCCACUCUAUCAUGAUGGUGGAAAAUAGUGUUUCAUAGUGAGUACGCAUAUUUUCCCUGUUUUUUCUCUCUACCUUCUCGCAAUUAAAUUGGGUUAAAGAGAAAAUGGACGCCUUAGCAGCCUGAAUGGAGAAUGUUUUAUGUACGAUCCGGUCCAGGGGGGUGGGAGUGUGUACAUUCCCUUUGGAUGGUAGGAUGAAACGACUCAAUAUCACCAUGUUCCAGCCUUUGGGCUACUUCUGAGAAGUGCGACUGAGUUGAGAAAGCACAAUGUCAAUAUGGUUAUGCUAUGUAUUUAUGUGUGCAGAUAAGCUAAUAUGAUGUGGAGGAUUUUUUUGGUUUUCUUGUAGAGACUAAGGGCUCUAUUCAAUCUGUAUUGCUGAAGCGGUAGAGUUUGCACACUAGAAAUGUUAAGGCAGUUUCCGAUUGAGCUGCCUUUAAAUUUCAAUCACGCUGUAACGCUGAACUUCUGUGAUACGGAUUGAAUAGAGUGCUUAUAUUUGUACCAUAGGCCUACACAUUCUCCCAAAAAUACCAUCAUUUAAAACAUCUUUCUGUAAAUGUUGAUCCGGUUGUCCAAUUAGCAUCAUUGUUCUUUACACUGCCCUCCAAUCGCUGAUCCUUUCUAUUCCUUGCUAUGUUACGCACCCCAACAUUAUUUCUGAGAGAGAAAGAGUGUGUGUGUCUGUGUGCGUGCGUGAUUGUUUUGUGUAUAUUUGGGGGAAAGGAGAGCUGAUAUUGGUUAAGGAGGAGAGGUGGUCUGUGAAGACAGUUCAAAGUUCAAGGCCAAAGUUGACAUGGUGCACUGUAUUACUUCCAAAGUUCGUUGUGGAUUGUUAUGUCAGAUUGUUUUUAACACAAUAAAAUACCCAGUUACUUUACAUCU
ensembl:lncRNA